GAUGCUUCUGCUAAAGGGGAAGGAAAAGUAUGGAAAUAUAGGGCAGAAGCCCUCCACUUUUCCUCUGGUGAGCAAAUGAUUACAGAGGGAGAAGGUAGUACACACAUUGGGGAGCUGAUAGCUGUCUGGAGUAUUUUUCAACAAGAAGCACAGAAUUCCUCUUUGGUCUGCAUCUACACUGACUCCUAUGCUCUGUACCAAAUGAUCCUAAUAAUCCAGCUCAUGACCCUGGCCAACCUGUUCUGGUGGACCUCUCUUACUAUAGGACUAGUAGCACUUGUGCUAAAACCCCCUCUGAAUAAAUAUGCAUGGGAAGCCUCUAGUGCUCUAGGGAAAGAGCAUUGGACAAAUACAUGCUGGAUAAUUCCAUCAUUCUAACUUUUCUGCCUCUCGGCAGCAGAAUUCUGUUGUGUUUACUUUUUCAGAAGAACCCCGAGGGACAUGAAGACCACCUAAUCCAUGAUAAAACUGGUAAUACUUUUCUGCAUCCUACCACAACCCCAUGGCCAGAAACCAGCUGAGUGGCCGUGGUCUGAACUAAUUGUGGUAGCAUGCAGAAAAAGUGAAAGGAUCUCUUUAAGCACAAAAAGGUGUGUACGCACCCAAGCAUACAGGAUUGUUGGCACAAUUACACAUUAACACAAACUGUAGAAGUAGUUUGGUUUUGGUCCAAAAAUACCGAAGCACUUUUUUUUGUUUUGUUUUGUUUUUUGUUUUUGUUUUUGUUUUUUAAGUUUAAAGUAUUGAUUCAAAUACUGGAGUAGGACUUGAUGUUAAUGUUGUGACACCUACCACCCAACCACUGGUUACACUUAGCCCGAAAAUCUUUGGAAUUGGACCAUAUAUAAUCAGGAAAACUGGCCAACAACAGAUAUUGUUUAAUCUGUUAUGGUCUCUUAAACAAGUCAAAUUGCUGAUGCAAAACAAUAUCUCAGAAAUACAACCAGCUUGUUCACCCUUUUUGCAGACCUCUUUUCAGGGUUGGACAACCUGGCUGCGACAGUGGAACCCUCCUAAAAACCGGGUGCCAAGAGACGUAACUGGUCUUGUGGGGACAGGAUUGGGAAUCCUAAAUAGUAUUGAUUCAGAAGUAUUAAUGAAUAAAUUGGCUUCCACAACUAAAGAUUUAACCAAAAUACAACAACCACUGCAAUCGUCCUUAUCAGCCUUGGGAACACAUCAGUGGUUGCUAUCAAACAUUCUACCAAAUUGGGAAAAGAUAAAUGUAAAUAAUAGCAAAUUGAUAAUUGAUGGACUUAAUGCCACACAAAGCAACGUUUCCUUAGCUCUUAGCUGUAUCCAGGCUCAAUUAUGGAUGCAGUCAGUUGCUGCCUCAAUUAUAAGAGAAGGUGAAGAAGGCACUUUUCCUACUGAGAUUAGGAAAAUAGUCUGGGACAGUGCCACUGACUUCGAAAGAGAUUUCCAAUCCUGGUGGAAUUUAGUGAAUUUUACCUAUGACCCUAACACAAACACAGCCACAGCAUUUGUGCUGACCAUAAGAAAUGCCUCGGUGCAUUUGAUAUUCCCUAUCAUUGCACUAGGAUUAAAUCAUGAUGGACCCACUUUCUAUCCUUCUGAACAUAGAGAAUGGGCCCGUCAAAUUGAUGACAAAUGGCAAACUGUCAAUUUAGAGUCCUGUACCAUCUGAGAACAACUAGGGUUUAUCUGUGAAGGUAAUGCAAUUGUAGCUCAAGAUAUUUGUCUGGACACAGAACAAAAUAGCUGUCAUUUUGAUAUUCAUCCUAACGAGACUUCUGAAACAGUCCUUGUAUAUACAGACAAUGGGUGUGCCUGCUUCAGAACCGCUUGUGAUACUGUGUUUAUAGAAAGUACAGUAGUAGAUACUAAAAAUCAUUCAAAUUUUUGUGCUUGUAACUUUACUAAAAUUGCAGGAUGUGAUUUUUCUUUUGUAGCUCCAGUUACUUCACAUGAACUUUUAGAAUCCAAUCUCACGUUGAUUCACAAGCUACUGCCUACUCCCAUUGGGAUGAACCUUACUCUGGUAAAGCAAUUAUUACUUCAUCAAGAUCUAAUAGAGAUCCUAGGAAAAAUCAAGGGGAAUGGACAGAAAACUCUGGUAACUGUUCAUCAUGAUGUGCAAGAAAUACAUCGUGUUGUAGAAAGGGUGAAAAGUGAUGCUGAGCACAAGUGGUGGGAUACCCUUUUCGGGUGGUCACCCACCGCCACCGGUAUCCUGAACAAAUUGUGCCAUCCCAUUGUUGUUCUUCUGGUUUUAGUUAUGAUUGGUUUUGUUUUAUCAGUAAUCUUGCUUAUUGUAAAUUGGAGAAUGAUGAAACGAUGAACAAAAUUAACAUCUAUAAUUAAUGCACACCACUUGGCCGACAUCCUUUACACUAUAGAUGUUCCCAGGACUGUAGACACAAGAAGAUUAUAAGUUUUCGUGUUUUCUCUUUCUUUCCCUUUUCCUCUUCUCUUUUCCCUGCGACGUGCUGCCAACACUUGACGAGUCCUGAAGACUCCACGACGACACCAUGGAAUCCUGCUGAUGAAGAUCUUUCGAGGGCAAUCGUCAGUCACGGGGUGGUGUAAGAGCCCGUCUGAAGCCCCUCAUUUUCCAUUCUGCCUUCCGAUUGCCACAAGAAAGAAUCCCAUCCCCCACUGUAGUUCCGGCUUAGAACAGGACACAGCACAGGUGGAACCACUGAACCGUCACGCUGGCUGUUCCGAACAAGGCCUGGUAAGAACUUGGCAAGGACUUGGCAAGGACUUGGCAAAGACCUGACGUGGACCCAGCACGGGACAGCCUGAUGCGCGGCCUGCUUCUAAUCUCCGUUCUUAAGCCAAAUGAACUUUUGGGGUGACUCUCGCGGUCCUUCAUUGAAGACCCCUCAUCUGCCUCGUUACCACUGUGACAAACAAAAAUGAGAACCCUCCUCCCAAGGACUGAGACUGAGACCCCUGCUAUAGGGAGGAGGGGAAAUUGGUGGUCUGACCACUAAUGACAUGACCUGUUUCCCUUCAGUGAUUCAAAUGGACUUAUUCUUCAUUGGAUUCGUCUUGCUUUGGUGGUUACUGUGGACUCACCUGUUCCCUCGGGGCGAUUACAAUGGACUUUCAUUAUUACACUUGUUCCCCCCCUCUCUCCUCUGUGGACUAUAAUUGGACCCCCAAGUCGACCAGAACUUCGAAGACUCCCCCGACACGACAGAUGGAUCCCCAUCGUCCGGAGCACUGAGGAUCUCGCCUGUGUUGGUAGCUAUUCCCAUAUCCCUCUUCUCUCUCUAUCCUUUUAUCUCCUUUCAGAUCCCCACUAUCGCGUUUACUGUUUUGGCCCCUAAUAAAGGUGCAUUUGUUGUGAUUAA